UGCCAGCAGCCGCGGUAAUACGAAGGGUGCUAGCGUUGUUCGGAAUUACUGGGCGUAAAGAGCAUGUAGGCGGAUGAAUUAGUCAGAGGUGAAAGCCCCGAGCUCAACUUGGGAACUGCCUUUGAUACUGUUUAUCUAGAGUCCGAGAGAGGUUAGUGAAAUUCCCAGUGUAGAGGUGAAAUUCGUAGAUAUUGGGAAGAACACCAGUGGCGAAGGCACUUUACUGGGCUAUUACUAACACUCAGAGACGAAAGCUAGGGUAGCAAAUGGGAUUAGAUA
rnacentral:rRNA from 1 species